GACGAACGCUGGCGGCGUGCUUAACACAUGCAAGUCGAACGGUGAAAGCGGAGCUUGCUCCGCUGGAUCAGUGGCGAACGGGUGAGUAACACGUGGGCAACCUGCCCCUCACUUCGGGAUAACUCCGGGAAACCGGGGCUAAUACCGGAUAACAUUUUGAACCGCAUGGUUCGAAAUUGAAAGGCGGCGUCGGCUGUCACUUAUGGAAGGACCCGCGUCGCAUUAGCUAGUCGGUGAGGUAACGGCUUACCAAGGCAACGAUGCGUAGCCGACCUGAGAGGGUGAUCGGCCACACUGGGACUGCGACACGGCCCAGACUCCUACGGGAGGCAGCAGUAGGGAAUCUUCCGCAAUGGACGAAAGUCUGACGGAGCAACGCCGCGUGAGUGAUGAAGGCUUUCGGGUCGUAAAACUCUGUUGUUAGGGAAGAACAAGUGCUAGUCGAAUAAGCUGGCACCUUGACGGUACCUAACCAGAAAGCCACGGCUAACUACGUGCCAGCCGCCGCAGUAA
rnacentral:rRNA from 1 species